GCUAGCGUGGGUGCAGCAGCAGGGGGAAUACGAAGGGUGAGAACGUUGAUCGGAAUGAUUGUGCGGAAAGCGCACGUAGGCGGCCUUGUAAGUCGGAUGUGAAAUCCCUCGGCUUAACAGAGGACGGGUAUCCGAAACUGUGAGGCUCGAGGAUGGAAGAGGGUCGCAGAAUUCCCGGUGUAGAGGUGAAAUUCGUAGAUAUCGGGAGGAAUACCAGUGGCGAAGGCGGCGACCUGGGCCAAUACUGACGCUGAGGUGCGAAAGCGUGGGGAGCAAACAGGAUUAGAUACCCGAGUAGUC
rnacentral:rRNA from 1 species